UUAGGGCUUCAUUCUUAGCAGUCCCCUCACUCCUUCAUUUUCUCAUUCCUUCUUCAAAGAUCUCCAGUUGCAGCUUCUGCAUCGCCAGUGCCAAGACAGCUACCUCGUCACCGCCAUCGUAGCCACCACUAGGACUACGAUCGAGGAACCCAGUUGUAGUCUCUGCCCUAUUGCUGUCAAGGUCAACCACCACCUUGUCAUCGUCGUAGCUUUUGUGACCCAGGUGAUAAUGGACAACAAACGUAUAUGACAUGAUGAAGAAACUGAUGCAUUUGUUGGCUUCAUGAAGGAGCUCGUUGUAGAUGGUCAGAAGGCUGAUUAUGGUCAAUUUAAGCCUAGAAUUUUUGAGAAACUAACUUUGAAAAUGUUGGAGGCCUUCCCUACGUGUAUCCUUACCACCAAACAUUGCAAGAAUAAGCAUAAGCUUGGAGAAGUAUCACUACGCUUCUAAAAUGCUUGCAUGUAGUGGAUUUGGCUAGAAUUCUGACACAAAUAGAAAACUUCUUAUUACAGACAGAUUUAAUCUUCAUUA